CGUCUCCUCUAUCUUCCUCCAAGAAAAUAGAUUCAAGCCCGCCGCAAGCGGGCUUUUUUUU
rnacentral:ncRNA from 1 species